rnacentral:rRNA from 1 species
UACAGAGGUGGCAAGCGUUGUUCGGAUUUACUGGGCGUAAAGGGUCCGUAGGCGGUUUGGAAAGUCAAAUGUGAAAGCCCACAGCUCAACUGUGGAACUGCAUUUGAAACUUCCAGACUAGAGUGUGAGAGGGGUGAAGGGAAUUCCCGGUGUAAGGGUGAAAUCUGCAGAGAUCGGGAGGAACACCAGUCGCGAAGGCGCUUCACUGGCUCACUACUGACGCUCAGGGACGAAAGCUAGGGUAGCAAACGGG